rnacentral:ncRNA from 1 species
UAAAAAUUUUUAUAGUUUAAAAAAUUUAUUUAAAGUUUAUUUUACAUAUAAAUUUUAGUGUUAAUAUUGAUUUAUUUAAAUAAUAAAUUAUUUAUUUUUGUUAGUAAUUAAUAUUAAAUUAUUUAAGAAAUUAAUAUUUAGUAAUAUUUAAAUUAAUAACUAAUUUUGUGCCAGCAGUUGCGGUUAAACAAAGAUUAAGUUAAAUUUUAUUAGUUAAAUUAAUUAAUAUAAUUAAAUAUAAUUUAAAUUUAAAAUUAUUAGGUGAAAUUUUAAUUUUAUAAAAUAUUAUUUAAGAUAUAUGAUUUAAUAAAUUUUUUUAAAAACUAGGAUUAGAUACCCUAUUAUUAAAAUUUUAAAUUAUGAUACUAAAAUAGUAAAUAAUUAUUUAUUGAAACUUAAAUAAUUUGGCGGUAUUUUAGUUCAUUUAGAGGAAUCUGUUUAAUAAUUGAUAAUCCACGAAUAAAUUUACUUAAUUUAUAAUUUUGUAUAUCGUUGUUAAAAAAAUAUUUUUAAAUAAAAAUAAUAUUUUAAAAUUAAGAAUUAAAUUAAAUCAGAUCAAGAUGCAGAUUAUAAUUAAGAAUAUAAUGGAUUACAAUAAAUUUAUUUAAAUGAAUAUUAAUUUGUAAUAAUUAAUUGAAAUUGGAUUUAAAUGUAAUUUUAUUUAAUUUAAUAAAAUGAUUAAAAUUUGAAAUAUGUACAUAUUGCCCGUCGCUUUCAUAUAAAAAUAAAUUGAAAUAAGUCGUAACAAAGUAGAGGUACUGGAAAGUGUUUCUAGAAAGAA